CCACUACUCCAUCCGUUCCAAAUUACUCGUCGCAGAAAUGGAUGUAUCUAGAACUAAAAUACAUCUAGAUACAUCCAAACCUGCGACAAGUAAUUCGGAACGGAGGGAGUACUAC
rfam:Triticum urartu cultivar G1812 contig90286, whole genome shotgun sequence.